UUUCCGUCGGUGAACCUGCGGAAGGAUCAUUACUGAGUGAGGGCCCCUCGGGGUCCAACCUCCCACCCGUGUUUAACGAACCUUGUUGCUUCGGCGGGCCCGCCUCACAGCCGCCGGGGGGCAUCUGCCCCCGGGCCCGCGCCCGCCGAAGCCACCUGUGAACGCUGUCUGAAGUAUGCAGUCUGAGACAAUUAUUAAAUUAAUUAAAACUUUCAACAACGGAUCUCUUGGUUCCG
rnacentral:misc_RNA from 1 species